rnacentral:rRNA from 1 species
CGCUACAAUGGCCGGGUACAAUGGGGAGCCAACCCGCGAGGGGGAGCCAAUACCGUCAAAGCCGGUCUCAGUUCGGAUUGCAGGCUGCAACCCGCCUGCAUGAAGUCGGAGUUGCUAGUAACCGCAGGUCAGCCAUACUGCGGUGAAUACGUUCCCGGGCCUU